rnacentral:rRNA from 1 species
UACGUAGGGUGCGAGCGUUAAUCGGAAUUACUGGGCGUAAAGCGUGCGCAGGCGGUUUUGUAAGCCGGAUGUGAAAUCCCCGGGCUUAACCUGGGAAUGGCAUUCGGGACUGCAAGGCUGGAGUGCGGCAGAGGAGACUGGAAUUCCUGGUGUAGCAGUGAAAUGCGUAGAUAUCAGGAGGAACACCGAUGGCGAAGGCAGCUCGCUGGGACGGUACUGACGCUGAGGCGCGAAAGCGUGGGGAGCAAACAGG